rnacentral:lncRNA from 1 species
GUUAAUUUCUACAACUUGAUAAAAGGACAUUUAUGAAAAAUCAACAACUAAUGUUAGAUAUUUGUUGGAAAAAGACCAAAUGGUUCUCUUCUAAGAUCAGGAACAAAGCAAAGGCCACUUCUAUUCAACAUUGUACUGGGGAAUCUAUAGCAAGAAUAAGAAAAUUAACACAACAUUGACAGGAAAAAAUACAUAAUUUGUCAGGCACAAUGGUGCACAUCUAUAAUCCUAGCAACUCAGGAGGCUAAGAUAGAAGAAUCACAAGUUUCAGGCCAGCCUCAGCUACUUAGCAAGGCCCUAAACAACUAGCGAGACCCUGCCUCAAAAAAAUAAAUAGGGCUAGGGAUGUAGCUCUGUGGCACUCUGCCACUGAACUUUAACCCCAAUACUCCAAAGGAAAGAAACAAACACAUAAUUAUCUCUUGGGAUGUAGAAAAGACAUUUGUUCAUGAUUAAACCAGGACUAGAAGGAUACUUCUUCAACAUGAUAAAGAGCAUUUGUGAAAAAAUUACAGUUAACAUCAUAAUGGUAAAAGGCUGAAAGUUUCCCUCCUUAGAUCAGGAAGAAGACAAGGAUGCUCAUUUUUACCAUAUUGGAAAGGAAGAAUCAAAA